GGAAGAAGGAAGGCUACACUCGUCGCCGCCGGUUCCGAGCUUUUUUUUAGGGGUUAGGAUUUCCGUUCGGGUAGAGGGAGAUCGAACGGUUACUGCUGCCCCCACAUCUAGGACAUGGAUCUAGCCGCUGGAACCGGUGACAUCCGUGGCAAGGUAGAGGCGGGGUUGCUUAGAUCCAGCAGAGCGGCCGCCGCCAGCGGCCAGCCCGACGGGCCCGCCUGGAGAAGACACGACGCGACGCUGUGACCCGCUCGUUUAGAGGUCCAUCGGGCGGAUGGGGGUACGGAUCGAGCCUGUAGACGACUACCGUUUCUUGUCUGGAGCCCAGAAGUCCUUACGUCCUGGAGACCUCUGGGGACGGUGUACACUAGCUUACAUCUACUUUUCUCGCAUUUUUGAUUAUCUUACCUCAUGGUAAAGACCCUUAUUUACUAGUAAGUUACCGUGUAUUUUGAACUACUCGUUCUUCGUGCUCGUGGCCUCCGUUCGCGAUGUUGAAAAGAUAAGAGACGUAAGUUCUAUCGUGUUGUGAUCUUUACAGGUACGGUACAAUACAUAACGUACAGAGAACACAUAGAAGACGACGAGGUCUAACUAUUACAUGAGCUGUAAUCACUCACUCUACCAGGUCUGAGAUCUCACUGUACAUGAGUUUAUAAACACGGACUCUACCAAAGUGUACAUGAGUCUAGAAAUACGGACCCUACCAGAUUAAUUG
rnacentral:rRNA from 1 species